GAUGAACGCUGACAGAAUGCUUAACACAUGCAAGUCAAUGGGGAAGCGGUGCUUGCACCGUGAUAACCAUGGCGGACGGGUGAGUAACGCGUAAAGAACUUGCCUCUUAGUCUGGGAUAACAGAUGGAAACGACUGAUAAAACUAGAUAUUAUUAAAGUUUCGCAUGAAGCUUUAAUGAAAAGAGAUGCUAAGAGAGAGCUUUGCGUCCUAUUAGUUAGUUGGUGAGGUAACGGCUCACCAAGACGAAGAUAGGUAGCCGGUCUGAGAGGAUGAACGGCCACAAGGGGACUGAGAUACGGCCCUUACUCUUACGGGAGGCAGCAGUGGGGAAUAUUGGACAAUGGAGGAGACUCUGAUCCAGCAAUUCUGUGUGCACGAAGACGGUUUUCGGAUUGUAAAGUGCUUUCAGCAGGGAAGAAGAAAGUGACGGUACCUGCAGAAGAAGCGACGGCUAAAUACGUGCCAGCCGCCGCCGUAACAC
rnacentral:rRNA from 1 species